rnacentral:SRP_RNA from 1 species
CGGCAGGUAGGGCCGGGGAGCUAGCCCUUCCCCUUAACUCGAAACGGGCUAUAAGCGAGGGCCAGAUAACCUGGUGGGGUGUGGAGGGCUUGGCAGGAAUGCAGGCCGGAAGGGGGUGUGAGGGUGCGCCUACGCGGGGUCCCGGAGGGAUGCAGCCCCUCCGUAGGGAGGGGAUAGGCAUCCCUUACGCGCCGAACCGUGUCAGGCUCGGGAGAGAGCAGCACUAAGGCGCGACGGUGCCGCUGCGUAGUACCGUACCUGAUCCUGCUUCCGGCAGGAGCGCCUGCCCAAGCCCUCUGCUACCCGCCGGGGGCUGCCG